rnacentral:rRNA from 1 species
UACGUAGGCAGCGAGCGUUGUUCGGAGUUACUGGGCGUAAAGGGUGUGUAGGCGGUUGUUUAAGUUUGGUGUGAAAUCUCCCGGCUCAACUGGGAGGGUGCGCCGGAUACUGAAUGACUUGGAGUGCGGGAGAGGUGAGUGGAAUUCCUGGUGUAGCGGUGAAAUGCGCAGAUAUCAGGAGGAACACCGGUGGCGAAGGCGGGUCUCUGGGCCGAUACUGACGCUGAGGAGCGAAAGCGUGGGGUGCGAACAGG